AUGAAAGUUUUGAAUUCUUGUGACCUGUAUUUCCACAGUCCGGCCCGUGAGCACAUGUCCACCCCUCCCCCUCAGAGGAAUGGUUCGGUCCAUCUGGCAGUAGGAACCCCACACACUCAGGGUGUGUCCAGGAGUCCCCACAUGGUCCGCAGAGGCACCAAGAAGCAGGCCCCGGCUCCCCCCAAGCAGGCCAGCCCCUUUGCCUCCCAGACACCCGGCUCCCCUCACCACCCACCCAUCACUCCCCGCCGUAACCCCAGCAAAGAAGCUCUGAUACACGUACCCAGCCACCCGCCUCCCCAGCCUCCUCAGAACCACCAGGGCGAAUCAGAGCACUCCCCUCCCAGCAGCCCCACCCCUCCAGACACUCCGCCCCAUGAUGGAAACCCCUUUAGCCCGAUGUCUUACCACACGGGUUCCCUCCCUCGCCCUGCCCGACCGGCUCCCAGGCCUCGACCCCGACCCAGCAUGCCGCCCCCUCCCCAGCCUGCUGUCAAUGAUGCUGGAAAUGGACUUUUUAGCUCCUCCUCCAAGAUUAUAACAGAUGUGUGAGCCGAGGGCUGCCGGUAAGAUGAGCUUUGCAAGGCAGGUGAUGAUGGAGGUCUGGUUCUGAAGGCGAUCGGACGAGCCUACAUCCCUGAGGUGAUAAUGGACCAGCAAACUCCUGAUAGCACAUCCACGUCUGCAUCUGCGUCUGCUCCAGUCCCUGAAUUCAGUCCAAAGAUAGAGAACACGGCUCUGUAAGGAACCAGGUGGUUGUCUGACAGGAUUAAAUACUCCCAACGUUCCUUCAACUCUAGGUGUUGGUCUGCUGCAUGACACUUUACAUUCCAUCUGCAGCUGGACUCACUGAGUACUGAAACCAGUUCAUGCUGUUGGCAGAUGUGAACGAGUAAAAGCAAUAAGUAUUUCCUUAGCUGAGUUAAAAAUGGUGAUUCAAAAGCAAUGCAAAUGAUGACUUUUAGCUUGAAAUAAUACUGAAUAAUGGCAAUUUUUCACAUUUCACAGUAAAUGUGAUUUCUGUUUAUAAAGGUGUGUUAUUAUCACACGUGCGUACAGGGUUAUAUAAAGGACCAAAGAUCGACCCAAGGAUAUUAAACUCCAAAGUAUCCUAAUCUGUUGGAAAGGUUAGAUUCAAGUCAUGCAGCGAAGGACCAAAUAUAUUUGAAAGGGCCUGUGUGCGUGGGUGCGCACGUGCAUGUGUGUAUGUCGGUGAUUUCCGCUGAAAAAUGUAUUUGAAGUUCGGAGAUGUGCUUGUAUUGUGAAAGUAAUGGAUUUUAAAUGGUGUAAAUAAUCACUCCCUCUCAAAGCUGAGACCAAAACACAACCAAAGAAAUGAAAUUUUGUGUCUGAUUUAUUUUUUCACUGUGCUUCACACUUCUGUCCUUUUAGGGUACCUCUCUGAUUGUUUCAUUGUAUUUUAAUAUAUUUUCCUGGUGGUUUUCUGCACGUUUCCUCCUAUAUUGUAACACUUAUUUUAAUAAAAUAAAGAUUGUGUACUUCUUCCA
rnacentral:lncRNA from 1 species